AGUGAACGCUGGCGGUAGGCCUAACACAUGCAAGUCGAACGGCAGCACAGUAAGAGCUUGCUCUUACGGGUGGCGAGUGGCGGACGGGUGAGGAAUACAUCGGAAUCUACUUUUUCGUGGGGGAUAACGUAGGGAAACUUACGCUAAUACCGCAUACGACCUACGGGUGAAAGCAGGGGAUCUUCGGACCUUGCGCGAUUGAAUGAGCCGAUGUCGGAUUAGCUAGUUGGCGGGGUAAAGGCCCACCAAGGCGACGAUCCGUAGCUGGUCUGAGAGGAUGACCAGCCACACGGGAACUGAGACACGGUCCAGACUCCUACGGGAGGCAGCAGUGGGGAAUAUUGGACAAUGGGCGCAAGCCUGAUCCAGCCAUACCGCGUGGGUGAAGAAGGCCUUCGGGUUGUAAAGCCCUUUUGUUGGGAAAGAAAAGCAGCAGGUUAAUACCCCGCUGUUCUGACGGUACCCAAAGAAUAAGCACCGGCUAACUUCGUG
rnacentral:rRNA from 1 species